AAUGAUAAUAAUAAGCAGCAGCAACAAUGAGGAUUGUGACUCAUCAUCUUUGACUAGUGCCAAAUAGGUAGGAGAAAGCCUUUUAUUAAUUAAUCCUCAUAGUGUGUAUGCCAUUGUUUUCUGUAAGAAGUCUUUCACCAUCACUUAAGAUCUUUAACCAAAUCCAUUUAUUAAAAUGCUUGAUUUAAUUAGAUAUUGACAGAAACAACAUAAACUAUUAAAUAGGGUAUCUAGAAAGCCUCGAGGAAGAGAAAGCACAUGAGCUUGGUUUGAUCACCAAGGAGAAUUUCUGUGAGUGACGCUGUGGAGACAUUGGAAAUGAUGAUUAAAGACAUGAAUAUGCUUGACACAUAUAGAGAAGCCUGUGUUGCUGGAGUUUAUAAUAUUAUUGUUAUCC
rnacentral:lncRNA from 10 species